rnacentral:rRNA from 1 species
GAUGAACGCUGGCGGCGUGCCUAAUACAUGCAAGUCGAGCGAACAGACGAUGAGCUUGCUCCUCUGACGUUAGCGGCUGACGGGUGAGUAACACGUGGAUAACCUACCUAUAAUACUGGGAUAACUUCGGGAAACCGGAGCUAAUACCGGAUAAUAUAUUGAACCGCAUGGUUCAAUAGUGAAAGACGGUUUUGCUGUCACUUAUAGAUGGAUCCGCGCCGCAUUAGCUAGUUGGUAAGGUAACGGCUUACCAAGGCAACGAUGCGUAGCCGACCUGAGAGGGUGAUCGGCCACACUGGAACUGAGACACGGUCCAGACUCCUACGGGAGGCAGCAGUAGGGAAUCUUCCGCAAUGGGCGAAAGCCUGACGGAGCAACGCCGCGUGAGUGAUGAAGGUCUUCGGAUCGUAAAACUCUGUUAUUAGGGAAGAACAAAUGUGUAAGUAACUAUGCACGUCUUGACGGUACCUAAUCAGAAAGCCACGGCUAACUACGUG